ACAAGGGUCCUUAAAAGCAGAAGAGGCAGCAUGUGAUGUGAGAAGGCUUUGGCUGCGUUUGCUCUUUUUAAGAUGAAGGGACUUAUCCAGGAGCCAAGAAAUAAAAUAUGAAAUGUGAAAAUUCAAAGUGAGUGUCCUCUAGAAGCUUUGACAAGGAAACAGAUUCUCCCUUAGAGCUUCCAGAAAAGGAAUACAGCCCUGCCAACACCUCAGUUCCAGCCCGGGGUGGCCAGCAUCGGACUUCUGAUCUACAAAACUAAUGGUUAUAAGAACUGAAGAAGUAGAUUGUAAGCUGAACUUCUAAGGACAAAACAGCUAAACACUGCAUAAGACUUGGUCCAUAAAGUCCUGCCACAAAGGCUGUAAUCAACAAGAUCUAGAAUUAAGAGUGGCUUCCAGUCUUCAGAAACAGGCCACGACUACCAUGUCCUGGAUCAUCAAAAUAAUCUCAAGUCUGGCCUUUCCCUCUCUGACUGGGUUGUGAAUCCAAGAUUCAAAGGAGGAUAUCUGAUGGGCAAAAUCAAGGUCAUUUCGGAUACCCUCUGAUUUUCUGCAAGAGAUGAGGAGAAUGCAGCAUGGUAUUCCCAGCCUUUGCAGUACAAAAAAGCAUUUGAGAAGGAAGCUGGUGACUCAAGACCAGCCAGUCUGCAGUGUCCACCUCUCCCCUCCUGACCUAUUUCCCAAUGUAACGACUAUUCUUAUUUUUUUGACAUGAUUUGACCUGUUUGCUUAGAGGCCUCUUACACUCUGUGAUCAAUGCUGACGUGUUUUAUCCUGUAACCUUGCUUCUCUCCCUGUUGUCUAUCUCAGUGAAGAACAACACUAAAGGCUGGGGAGAUAGCCUAGAAGCUUUCCAGUUUCCUUCCAUGACACCAUUGCAGUCCUUGCUAAACAAGCUCCCAAUAGUGAAGAUUCUGUCUCCUUAAUCCCACGCGUGUUAUCUUCUCCAUUCUCUCUGCUACGUAGUUCAUCUGGUCUUUUCCGUUUCUUUCUGAGGCUGUGUUAAUAGCCUUUAAUUGUUCUUCUUCUGUGCGCUUUUUCUUUUCACAUACUCCAAGCAGAAGAUAUCCUUCCAACUACUCAGGAAUGUUUUUCUCACUGUGCUCCGCCCAUCGCAGAUACACUCCCUACCCGCAACCAUACACAGCUACUAGUAAUUGACUAAGAUCAUUUUGUAAUCCCUCACUCUCAUUCAUAUUAUUCCAUUUUACUGAAAGUUCUUUGUCUGGUCAAUGCCUUUUUAAAGUCUUAUCCAUCCUUUAAAAUUUUGUUCCAGUGUCACUUACUCCAGGAAGUCUGCCCAGAUGUCUUCUGCUUUAGAUAUGCAAAAUGCUACUAUAGCAUCAGACAUACUGUUCUGGCACCAGUACCAAGGCUUCACCUGUUUCUUUCCCCUAGGCUUGCAGAUCCUUGAGGCCAGGUGCCAGAUCUUAUUAAACUUUGCCUAAAUUAUAAAGUUGAAGAUGGAAAUGAGUAUUCAGGCAUAUUGUGAGAAAAAAAGAAUGAUUAAAAUUGAGUGGCCAUCUUAGCAGUAUUUUGCAAAGCUUGUAAAUUUGGUUAUAAUGUUUAGUUCAUUGCAGGCUGGAACUUGAGAGUCUAUUUUCCACAUUUGCCAUGUUUUCAGUAAAUGCUGACGGUAAUGAACAAACUUUGCUUUGUCCAGGAAGCUGUGUCCUAAAACAUUCUCUGUUCAAGGUAGUGUCCAUAAAUUUAACAAGCUAUGCAAGUAUAUAUCAUUUUAUAGUGCUUUGAUUCUGUGUUUUUUCCCUAAUCAAAGGUUUGUGGCAGCCCUGAAUUGAGCAAGGCUAUCAGCAUCAUUUUUCCAAUAGUAUUUGCUCAGUUUGGGUCUCUGUGUCACAACUGGCUAAUUCUUGGUAUAGUUCAAGCUUUUUCGUUAUUACAUUGUGGUGAUCUGUGAUCAGGGGUCUAUAACUCACUGUAGUUUCAGAUGAUGCUUAGCGUUUUUAAGCAGUACAUUAAAGCAUGUGCAUUGUUUUUUAGACGAUGCUAUUUCACACUUAAUAGACUAAAACAUUGUGUAAACAGAGUUUUCAUAUGCAUUGAGAAAUCAAAAAUUUGUGUGGCUUGCUUUAAUGGGAUAUAACCUGAAAUGUCUCUGAGGUAUGCCUGUAUUAAAGUCUUGUGCGUAUCA